rnacentral:rRNA from 1 species
UAAGUGAAGAGUUUGAUCCUGGCUCAGAGUGAACGCUGGCGGUAGGCCUAACACAUGCAAGUCGAACGGCAGCACAGAGGAGCUUGCUCCUUGGGUGGCGAGUGGCGGACGGGUGAGGAAUACAUCGGAAUCUACUCUGUCGUGGGGGAUAACGUAGGGAAACUUACGCUAAUACCGCAUACGACCUACGGGUGAAAGCAGGGGACCUUCGGGCCUUGCGCGAUUGAAUGAGCCGAUGUCGGAUUAGCUAGUUGGCGGGGUAAAGGCCCACCAAGGCGACGAUCCGUAGCUGGUCUGAGAGGAUGAUCAGCCACACUGGAACUGAGACACGGUCCAGACUCCUACGGGAGGCAGCAGUGGGGAAUAUUGGACAAUGGGCGCAAGCCUGAUCCAGCCAUACCGCGUGGGUGAAGAAGGCCUUCGGGUUGUAAAGCCCUUUU